AUUGAACGCUAGCGGGAUGCUUUACACAUGCAAGUCGAACGGCAGCGCGGACUUCGGUCUGGCGGCGAGUGGCGAACGGGUGAGUAAUGUAUCGGAACGUGCCCAGUAGCGGGGGAUAACUACGCGAAAGCGUAGCUAAUACCGCAUACGCCCUACGUGGGAAACCAGGGGAUCGUAAGACCUUGCACUAUUGGAGCGGCCGAUAUCGGAUUAGCUAGUUGGUGAGGUAACGGCUCACCAAGGCGACGAUCCGUAGCUGGUUUGAGAGGACGACCAGCCACACUGGGACUGAGACACGGACCAGACUCCUACGGGAGGCAGCAGUGGGGAAUUUUGGACAAUGGGGGAAACCCUGAUCCAGCAAUCCCGCGUGUGCGAUGAAGGACUUCGGGUUGUAAAACACUUUUAGCAGGAAAGAAACGUGGCGGGCUAAUACCCCGUGGAACUGACGGUACCUGCAGAAUAAGCACCGGCUAACUACGUG
rnacentral:rRNA from 1 species